UAUCUCUUACAUGCAUAUCAGUCUGCACAUCCAUCAAAAUAAUUGUUUUAGGAAUUAGGACAAGACUUAAGCUCCAAAUAAAAGAUGAAAUAUAGAAAAUCAUGGCCAAAUACCAAGCAAAAUGCAACAUAAUAAUAGAUAUAUUAUCAAUUACCAGAAAAAGCAUAAAAAAAAAGACAAAAAAGGAUAGGUGAUAAAACAGCAACCAGCUAGAUAACAAAAUAUGGUAGCAAACAUGCAAAUAAGGACCCCUGCAACACAACUUAUAAUCUCAAUUUGGAAUGUAAAGUAAACUAUGUUCAUUUUGUCUAAAAUGUGUCGAAUGCCCAUCUAACCUAAAAUAUCUCAUCAAUCCCUAUGAAUUUUUAACAAAAAUUGCACUGACUAUAAUUACUGGAGAAAAAAGAAAAAAAAAAAA
rnacentral:misc_RNA from 1 species